rnacentral:rRNA from 1 species
UACGAAGGGGGCUAGCGUUGCUCGGAAUCACUGGGCGUAAAGCGCACGUAGGCGGAUUUCUAAGUCAGGGGUGAAAUCCUGGAGCUCAACUCCAGAACUGCCUUUGAUACUGGGAAUCUCGAGUCCGGGAGAGGUGAGUGGAACUGCGAGUGUAGAGGUGAAAUUCGUAGAUAUUCGGAGGAACACCAGUGGCGAAGGCGGCUCACUGGUCCGGUACUGACGCUGAGGUGCGAAAGCGUGGGGAGCAAACAGG